rnacentral:rRNA from 1 species
GACGAACGCUGGCGGCGUGCCUAAUACAUGCAAGUCGAGCGAGUCUGCCUUGAAGAUCGGAGUGCUUGCACUCUGUGAAACAAGAUACAGGCUAGCGGCGGACGGGUGAGUAACACGUGGGUAACCUGCCCAAGAGAUCGGGAUAACACCUGGAAACAGAUGCUAAUACCGGAUAACAACAGAUGAUGCCUAUCAACUGUUUAAAAGAUGGUUCUGCUAUCACUCUUGGAUGGACCUGCGGUGCAUUAGCUAGUUGGUAGGGUAACGGCCUACCAAGGCGAUGAUGCAUAGCCGAGUUGAGAGACUGAUCGGCCACAUUGGGACUGAGACACGGCCCAAACUCCUACGGGAGGCAGCAGUAGGGAAUCUUCCACAAUGGACGCAAGUCUGAUGGAGCAACGCCGCGUGAGUGAAGAAGGGUUUCGGCUCGUAAAGCUCUGUUGUUGGUGAAGAAGGACAGGGGUAGUAACUGACCUUUGUUUGACGUUAAUCAAUUAGAAAGUCACGGCUAACUACGUG